AAACUUGGGUUCCCUACCUGAUCCGAGGUCACCUGGGUUAAGAUUGAUGGUGUUCGCCGGCGGGCGCCGGCCGGGCCUACAGAGCGGGUGACGAAGCCCCAUACGCUCGAGGACCGGACGCGGUGCCGCCGCUGCCUUUCGGGCCCGCCCCCCGGAAGCGGGGGGCGAGAGCCCAACACACAAGCCGUGCUUGAGGGCAGCAAUGACGCUCGGACAGGCAUGCCCCCCGGAAUACCAGGGGGCGCAAUGUGCGUUCAAAGACUCGAUGAUUCACUGAAUUCUGCAAUUCACAUUACUUAUCGCAUUUCGCUGCGUUCUUCAUCGAUGCCGGAACCAAGAGAUCCGUUGUUGAAAGUUUUAACUGAUUUAGUCAAGUACUCAGACUGCAAUCUUCAGACAAGAGUUCGUUUGUGUGUCUUCGGCGGGCGCGGGCCCGGGGGCGGAUGCCCCCCGGCGGCCGUGAGGCGGGCCCGCCGAAGCAACAAGGUACGAUAAACACGGGUGGGAGGUUGGACCC
rnacentral:misc_RNA from 1 species